UGGCGGCGUGCCUAAUACAUGCAAGUUCAGCGAACCAAUGGGAGCUUGCUCCCUGAGGUUAGCGGCGGACGGGUGAGUAACACGUGGGUAACCUGCCUGUAAGACUGGGAUAACUUCGGGAAACCGGAGCUAAUACCGGAUACUUUCUUUUCUCGCAUGAGAAGAGAUGGAAAGAUGGUUCUGCUAUCACUUACAGAUGGACCCGCGGCGCAUUAGCUAGUUGGUGAGGUAACGGCUCACCAAGGCGACGAUGCGUACCCGACCUGAGAGGGUGAUCGGCCACACCGGGACUGAGACCCGCCCAUACUCCUACGGGAGGCAUCACCACGGAAUCUUCCGCAAUGGACGAAAGACUGACGGACACACUCCACGUGAUCUAAAACUGCCUUUGUGUCAUAACCUCUCCCGUUGUUUCGCCAUCUUAAUACGAGCCUAAAGGCAGGCGCCUUUCCGGCGCUGGUGUCUCAUA
rnacentral:rRNA from 1 species